ACAUUGGGUCAGCUGGGAAGGGUUGUACACAUUGAUGGCGAUGGAGACGUUUCCGUUAAGUUUGGCGACAGUCAGUAUCUGUUCAGUCCUGUCUGCCUUGAUGUGGUGGAUCCCAAUUCUCUCUCAGCCAUGGCAAGAGUACCAUCCAUCCCAAACAACCUACACUCCCUCAGACUAUUUGAUCUAACACAACCCAAACAAGCGGGGUAUCUUCCUCCAAUAACUUCUAUUGUGAAGGCAGCCUCCAAAGGAAACGUAGAGAUAGUCAAAGAAAUACUGAACAACAACAAAGAUAAGGUUGACGAGGUAGAGAACGGGGUCUCCUGUUUACAAGUGGCCAGUCACAGAGGUCAUGAGAAGAUGGUCAAACUGCUUUUGGAGAGAGGGGCUAAUAUAAACAAAGCAGACAAGGAUGGCAACACAUCCCUUCAUUUUGCGGUGCAAGGAAAGAAGACUGCCGUAAUCAAACUUCUACUAGAACAUAAUGCAAACGUCUCCUCACUAAAUAGCUCUGGUCAGACAGCAAUACAUCUGGCAAUAGCAAAGGAACAAAAAGAAAGUAUAAAGGCACUUGUCCUUGCCCCAUGUGAUGUGCAUGUAAAGGACGGUAAUGGAGACACGGCAGUCCAUGCUGCAAUAAGCACAAGACAGGAGGCUCUCCUCCAUGCAGUACUCAGAACUCACAGAGUUAAUUUCCAGACGGAGAAUACAGCAGGAUAUGACAUGCUGCAGUGGGCAGUCUAUAAAAACUUUAAGAGUGCUGUUGAUGUUAUUUUGACGAGAUGUAGCCACUGCUUACCGGAGCUGGUCAGUCGGCAAAUCGCCAUCAAUGGAUACUCCGCCCUGCACCUCGCAGCUUGCUAUGACCACAGGGAAUGUGCCCACCUUCUCAUUACAAAGGGGGAAAUGAAAUUGGAUUUAGUUGAUGUUCAGUUACAAACACCUCUUCAUAUAUCUGCAAAAGAAGGACACCUGCCGAUGGUAGAGCUUCUGUUAGAAUUUGACCUGACAGUCAAUGCGCAAGACAAAGAUGGGAAUAGUCCUCUACACCUUGUGCAGAUGAAGCACUCUCAAUUGCAGAAAAGGAAACCUAAUUCUGAGAAAACACACUGCUAUGUGCAAAUAGCCUGCUUAUUGGUGGAAAACGGUGCUGAACUUAACCUAGAAAACCAGCAAGGAAAGACUCCCUUAGAUUUCACCUGCCAACAGUCGCGCUUGUAUUUGGAAAGAAUUUCAAAGGCGGCGAAAGAAAAACGGGCGGCUAACUCUGGAGGAGGCUUGUUUCUUCCUUUGCACUGGUCUGAAAUGGGAAGCAAGGGCUACGAACUUGUCUGCUUGAACCGCGACAGCUUGGAGGAGAAGGCAGAGUUUACCAGUGUAUCCGCUAUGAUAGUUAAUGGACUUCCUAAUGCAGAAGUGACGGAGAUCAUCCGAGUUCAGAAUGAGUAUCUAUGGCAGCUGUAUUCCGUGACAAAGGCAAAGUUUACAAAGAAGUACGGAAGAGGAAAUGAAAACGAGGUCAAGCUUCUCCAUGGAACCAAAUCAGACAAUAUAUUUAAAAUAUGUCAAGAAAAUUUCGAUUUUAAAGUUGCGGGUGAAAAUCUCAGUCCAAUGUAUGGCAAAGGAGUAUACUUUGCUGCCGAAUCCUCUCUCACCGAUCACUACUGCUCAGAAAAAGAAAGGGAUGGACUAAAAUACAUGUUAAUGGCUCGUGUUCUGGCGGGUAAAAUGGGCUGUGGAUCUCCAGAGCUACGGAGACCUCCGGAUGACUGCGACUGCGCAGUGGAUUCUCCGUCUAAGCCUCGGAUUUUCUGUGUUUUUGACUAUAAUCAACUUUAUCCAGAAUAUGUUAUAAAAUAUAAAAUUAAACAACCUAAAUGAAAUUUAUAUGGAAGUAAAAACCAGCAAAACUCAGCCACAUUCCCUUUAAAACUUAUGUUUUCUGGCAAACUACUUCCAUAUUACAAACAAGGUUAAAAUUCUAGUUAAUUGCAAAUAUCUUGAGCAUGAAGCAUCAGGAGUUUUAAUAGGAGACAAGAAACAGAAUUAGAGGUGUUCCUGGAUUCUCAACAAAAUGGGCGCGCGGACCAUGGCUACGCUGAGGCAUCAAUACUAGUCACACACGGAAUUAAAACAUGACAAGAAGUUAUGACUCAGCUAUAGCUUAAUUCAUUUUAUAUCUCAAUUAAAGUUCACAAUGAUCUGUUUGUUUGUGCUAUACUAUAUGAUUUAAUUAAGAAUUAAAAAAAAAGCAUCGCAGUGAUGUCACAAAAU
rnacentral:misc_RNA from 1 species